CUACUACUCCCUCUGUCCCAAAAUUCUUGUCUUACGUUUGUUUAGAAAUGGAUGUGUCUAAAUACUAACACAUGACUAGAUACAUCCAUAUCUAGACAAAUUAAAAACAAGAAUUUUGAGACGGAGGGAGUACUUG
rfam:Hordeum vulgare subsp. vulgare, WGS project CAJW01000000 data, contig: morex_contig_59857